GGGUCGUUAGCUCAGUUGGUAGAGCAGUUGACUUCUAAUCAAUUGGUCGCAGGUUCGAAUCCUGCACGACCCACCA
rnacentral:tRNA from 1 species